rnacentral:misc_RNA from 1 species
AGCAGCCGCGGUAAUUCCAGCUCCAAUAGCGUAUAUUAAAGUUGUUGCAGUUAAAAAGCUCGUAGUUGAAUUUCGGGAUUGGCGCAUCGGUCGUGCCUCACGGGGUAUGAACUGGUGCAGUCAAUUUCUCACCUUCUGGAGAACCGCGAUGUCCUUAAUUGGAUGCCGCGGGGAACCAGGACCUUUACUUUGAAAAAAUUAGAGUGUUUAAAGCAGGCAUUUUUGCUUGAAUACAUUAGCAUGGAAUAAUAAAAUAGGACGGCAUGGUUCUAUUUUGUUGGUUUCUAGGUACCACCGUAAUGAUUAAUAGGGAUAGUUGGGGGCAUUAGUAUUCAAUUGUCAGAGGUGAAAUUCUUGGAUUUAUUGAAGACUAACUACUGCGAAAGCAUUUGCCAAGGAUGUUUUCAUUAAUCAAGAACGAAAGUUAGGGGAUCGAAGACGAUCAGAUACCGUCGUAGUCUUAACCAUAAGCUAUGCCGACUAGGGAUCGGAUGAUGUUAA